AAGACGGACCGUGCGAACGUUGUUCGGAAUUACUGGGCUUAAAGGGCGCGUAGGCGGCUGGCUAAGUCGGUGGUGAAAGCCCUCGGCUCAACCGAGGAAGUGCCACCGAGACUGGCUGGCUUGAGGUGGGUAGAGGUGCGUGGAACUACCGGUGUAGCGGUGAAAUGCGUGGAUAUCGGUAGGAACGCCGGUGGCGAAGGCGGCGCACUGGGCCCAUCCUGACGCUGAGGCGCGAAAGCCAGGGGAGCAAACCGGAUUAGAAACCCUAGUAGUCC
rnacentral:rRNA from 1 species